ensembl:rRNA 5S_rRNA 5S ribosomal RNA
UCCACCAGUGUUUGUUCUGGCAGCCCCUGGCACCAUAGCAGCCUUAGGAUGCCCCAGCCCAGUAGAUAAGCAGGGUCAGGCUAGACAGGGGCUUGGAUGGGAGACCAUGCAGGAGACCAGGAGCUGGAGGCU